CGGGAACGGGGGCAAGGACGAUUCAGUGGCGAACGGUCGCGUAACACAGAAAAGAAUUUGUCUUUCGGUGGGGGAUAGCCGGCCCAACGGCCGGUUAACACCGCGUACGCUCUUCGGGGGGCAUCCUCUGGAGAGGAGAGCAGCAAUGCGCCGAAAGAGAACCUCGCGGCCUAUCAGCUAGUUGGUGGGGUCAUGGCCCACCAAGGCGACGACGGGUAGCUGGUCUGAGAGGAUGGCCAGCCACAUUGGGACUGAAACACGGCCCCGACUCCUACGGGAGGCAGCAGUGGG
rnacentral:rRNA from 1 species